GAUGGACGCUGGCGGCGUGCUUAACACAUGCAAGUCGAACGGAAAGGCCCAAGCUUGCUUGGGUACUCGAGUGGCGAACGGGUGAGUAACACGUGGGUGAUCUGCCCUGCACUUCGGGAUAAGCCUUGGAAACUGGGUCUAAUACCGGAUAGGACCACAUUUUGGGUGGUGUGGUGGAAAGUUUUUCGGUGUGGGGUUAGCUCGCGGCCUAUCAGCUUGUUGGGGGGGUAAUGGCCUACCAAGGCGUCGACGGGUGGCCGGCCAGGGAGGGUGUACGGCCACACUGGGACUGAGGGGAGGCACAGGUUCCUAAGGGAGGGAGAAGGGGGGAAUAUUGCACAAGGGGCGCAAGCCGGAUGCAGAGAGGCCGCGGGGGGGAUGACGGUCUUCGGGUUGUAAACUCCUUUCGCUAGGGACGAAGCGUUAUGUGACGGUACCUGGAGAAGAAGCACCGGCUAACUACGUG
rnacentral:rRNA from 1 species